GCCCGGAUGGCGAAAUUGGUAGACGCAGCAGACUCAAAAUCUGCCGGCAGCAAUGUCGUACCGGUUCGAGUCCGGUUCUGGGCA
rnacentral:tRNA from 1 species